rnacentral:rRNA from 1 species
GACGAACGCUGGCGGCGUGCUUCACACAUGCAAGUCGAACGAAGUGGCGAACGGGUGAGUAACGCGUAAUCAACAUGCCCUUCAGAGGGGGACAACAGUUGGAAACGACUGCUAAUACCGCAUAACGAAGGAGGGGCUUGCGUGUGAUGAGCUAGUUGGAGGGGUAACGGCCAACCAAGGCGAUGAUCAGUAGCCGGUCCGGGAGGAUGAACGGCCAGAUUGGGACUGAGACACGGCCCAGACUCCUACGGGAGGCAGCAGUGGGGAAUCUUCCGCAAUGGACGAAAGGCUGACGGAGCAACGCCGCGGGAGUGAUGACGGCCUUCGGGUUGUAAAGCUCUGUUAAUCGGGACGCGGUACCGGAAUAGAAAGCCACGGCUAACUACGUGCCAGCAGCCGCGGUAAUUC